rnacentral:rRNA from 1 species
AGUGAACGCUGGCGGUAGGCCUAACACAUGCAAGUCGAACGGCAGCACAGUAAGAGCUUGCUCUUACGGGUGGCGAGUGGCGGACGGGUGAGGAAUACAUCGGAAUCUACUUUUUCGUGGGGGAUAACGUAGGGAAACUUACGCUAAUACCGCAUACGACCUACGGGUGAAAGCAGGGGAUCUUCGGACCUUGCGCGAUUGAAUGAGCCGAAGUCGGAUUAGCUAGUUGGCGGGGUAAGGGCCCACCAAGGCGACGAUCCGUAGCUGGUCUGAGAGGAUGAUCAGCCACGCUGGAACUGAGACACGGUCCAGACUCCUACGGGAGGCAGCAGUGGGGAAUAUUGGACAAUGGGCGCAAGCCUGAUCCAGCCAUACCGCGUGGGUGAAGAAGGCCUUCGGGUUGUAAAGCCCUUUUGUUGGGAAAGAAAAGCAGCAGGUUAAUACCCCGCUGUUCUGACGGUACCCAAAGAAUAAGCACCGGCUAACUUCGUG